rnacentral:rRNA from 1 species
CCUACGGGUGGCAGCAGUGAGGAAUAUUGGUCAAUGGCCGAGAGGCUGAACCAGCCAAGUCGCGUGAGGGAAGACGGCCCUACGGGUUGUAAACCUCUUUUGUCGGGGAGCAAAGCGAACCACGUGUGGUUCAUUGAGAGUACCCGAAGAAAAAGCAUCGGCUAACUCCGUGCCAGCAGCCGCGGUAAUACGGAGGAUGCGAGCGUUAUCCGGAUUUAUUGGGUUUAAAGGGUGCGCAGGCGGAGGUGCAAGUCAGCGGUCAAAUUGCGGGGCUCAACCCCGUACUGCCGUUGAAACUGCAUCCCUUGAGUGCGCGAGAAGUAUGCGGAAUGCGUGGUGUAGCGGUGAAAUGCAUAGAUAUCACGCAGAACACCAAUGGCGAAGGCAGGUCUCUGGGCCGUUACUGACGCUGAGGAGCGAAAGCGUGGGGAGCGAACAGGAUUAGAUACCCGGGUAGUC